AGUGAACGCUGGCGGUAGGCCUAACACAUGCAAGUCGAACGGCAGCACAGUAAGAGCUUGCUCUUACGGGUGGCGAGAGGCGGACGGGUGAGGAAUACAUCGGUAUCUACUUUUUCGUGGGGGAUAACGAAGGGAAACUUACGCUAAUACCGCAUACGACCUACGGGUGAAAGCCGGGGAUCUUCGGACCUUGCGCGAUUGAAUGAGCCGAUGUCGGAUUAGCUAGUUGGCGGGGUAAAGGCCCACCAAGGCGACGAUCCGUAGCUGGUCUGAGAGGAUGAUCAGCCACACUGGAACUGAGACACGGUCCAGACUCCUACGGGAGGCAGCAGUGGGGAAUAUUGGACAAUGGGCGAAAGCCUGAUCCAGCCAUACCGCGUGGGUGAAGAAGGCCUUCGGGUUGUAAAGCCCUUUUGUUGGGAAAGAAAAGCAGCAGGUUAAUACCCCGCUGUUCUGACGGUACCCAAAGAAUAAGCACCGGCUAACUUCGUG
rnacentral:rRNA from 1 species